rnacentral:rRNA from 1 species
UGAGUACGAGAUGCUACGGCAUCGAAGCAGUCUAUGUCAUACUUCCAAGAAAAGCUUGCAAUGUCAUAAACAAAUAAUGCCUGUACCAUAACCGACACAGGUGGGUAGGUAGAGUAUACUAAGGGGCGCGAGAUAACUCUCUCUAAGGAACUCGGCAAAAUGACUCCGUAACUUCGGGAGAAGGAGUGCCUUAUUUUUAUAAGGUUGCAAUAACAAGAUCCAAGCAACUGUUUACCAAAAACACAGGUCUCCGCUAAGUCGUAAGACGAUGUAUGGGGGCUGACGCCUGCCCAGUGCCAGAAGGUUAAAGAAGUUGGUUAGCAUUAGCGAAGCUGAUAACUGAAGCCCUGGUGAACGGCGGCCGUAACAAUAACGGUCCUAAGGUAGCGAAAUUCCUUGUCGGGUAAGUUCCGACCCGCACGAAAGGCGUAAUGAUUUGGAUACUGUCUCGGAGAGGGGCUCGGUGAAAUAGACUUGUCUGUGAAGAUGCGGACUACCUGCACCUGGACAGAAAGACCCUAUGAAGCUUUACUGUAACUUGAGAUUGAAAUUGGACUUUAUCUGCGCAGUAUAGGUGGGAGACGUUGAAAAUAUUCUUGCGGGAAUAUUGGAGUCAUCAGUGAGAUACCACUCUUAUAAUGUUAGAUUUCUAACUUUGUAUUAUUAUCUGGUCAAAGAACAGUUUCAGGCGGGCAGUUUGACUGGGGCGGUCGCCUCCCAAACGGUAACGGAGGCGCACAAAGGUUUCCUCUGAACGUGUAGAAAUCGUAUCUAGAGUGUAAAGGCAUAAGGAAGCUUGACUGUGAGACCUACAAGUCGAGCAGGGACGAAAGUCGGUCUUAGUGAUCUGACGGUGCUGAGUGGGAAGGCCGUCACUCAACGGAUAAAAGUUACUCUAGGGAUAACAGGCUGAUCUCCCCCAAGAGUUCACAUCGACGGGGAGGUUUGGCACCUCGAUGUCGGCUCAUCGCAUCCUGGGGCGGUAGUACGUCCCAAGGGUUGGGCUGUUCGCCCAUGAAAGCGGUACGCGAGCUGGGCUCAGAACGUCGUGAGACAGUUCGGUCCAUAUCCGGUGUAGGCGUUAGAAUAUUGAGAGGAGCCUUCUUUAGUACGAGAGGACCGAGAAGGACAUACCUCUGGUGUACCAGUUAUCGUCCAACGGUAAACGCUGGGUAGCCAUGUAUGGAGAGGAUAACCGCUGAAAGCAUCUAAGUGGGAAGCCCACCUCAAGAUAAG